rnacentral:rRNA from 1 species
UGGGGAAUUUUGCACAAUGGGGGAAACCCUGAUGCAGCGACGCCGCGUGAUUUAGAAGGCCUUCGGGUUGUAAAAAUCUUUUCUAUGGGAAGAAAAUGACAGUACCAUAGGAAUAAGGACCGGCAAAUUACGUGCCAGCAGCCGCGGUAAUACGUAAGGUCCGAGCGUUGUCCGGAAUCAUUGGGCGUAAAGGGUACGUAGGCGGGUAAGCAAGUUAGAAGUGAAAUCCUAUAGCUCAACUAUAGUAAGCUGUUAAAACUGCUCAUCUUGAGGUAUGGAAGGGAAAGUGGAAUUCCUAGUGUAGCGGUGAAAUGCGCAGAUAUUAGGAGGAAUACCGGUGGCGAAGGCGACUUUCUGGCCAUAACCUGACGCUGAGGUACGAAAGCGUGGGUAGCAAACAGG